GGGGGAUGUAGGGAUUCAUCUUUGUCACAUUUUCUCUCUAAUUUAGCUGUCUAGGGAGCCUCCCUUGUUUUGCAGAAGUGGAAACAUCCAGUUUAAUUUCAUCUUUUCUCAGACUGCAGUAGCUUGCUUCCUCAGAAGCCAGGGUCUCUCUCCAUUUAUUCUUAGUGUUUAUCCCUUUAAUUCUCCUACAGUUUCACAAGUGCUUCUGGUAUAUUUUGUAAUUUUAGCUUAUAAUCACAUUUUUCGAAGAGGCACCAUCUGGUUCCUGACAUGGCUUAAAAUAACAAUCUAACUAACACGAACCCUGCAGCAAUGCUUUGCGCCCUUCCCAACCCAGUGUGAGAGUGUCCCCACCUAUAUUUCUUCACAAAUGCUCCACUGUUAGGUUCCAUCCCUUCCGAUAGAUCUCACAGAAAGCGGGGCCUUUUACCUCUUUCAUCUCGAACCCAGUCGUUUCAGGCAGUCAAAAUGGAUGCGUUAAAAAAAAAAAAAAAAAACCUUGCAGCUAGGACAGCAGAGGAUCUGCUGUGAACUGCUCAGUCAGAGACUUGGAGCUGGAGCUCACGUCUGUAUUUCAGCUGCCCUCUGGUGCUUAGCACUGCAGCAGUACACGCCAUCAUCAUGGCCCCAGUGCUUGGAGGUCCCUGCGACGGAGCAGCGGAAACCAAGCACAGCAAAAAUUCCUUUGAAGACAGAAAAGUGGCCCAGUGCUGUGCAGCAGGGCUACGGUGCUGGAAUCCAGCCCGGCCCAGUGCCGGCGUUGGCAGCGGCCUUCCCAUUAUAUCAGGAAGGGCUGUAUCCCGUCGCCACCAUGCCCCAACCCCCCCGGCUCGCCUCAGCUGUCUGCGGGACGUGGAGCCAGGCAGAGGGUGCCCUGCAAGAAGCAGAGCUGUUGGUUUGAGGUGCGGAAAGCCGGCCAGUCUGGAUGCGACUGCUGCUGCGUGGCGGACAGGAACUGACAUACAGCUUCAGUGCUUCCCACCGCAAGGGCACUCCAGGAUCCAGACUCUGGAGGAGAAGCUGUGGCUGUAGGAUUGCUAAUUGCAGCCGGUGCCAACGCUGCUGCCCGUUUUCAGGUGAGUGUGGUGGAGGGCACUGUAGAGACGCACGGCUAUUCACAGAGCGUGCACUUCCAGCACCUGAACUGCUGGAUCCGCUCUGACCGAUGUACGGCAAUUACAUUUGGUGCUGCACUGCUAUAAUUUCACUGCACGUUAAUAGCCACCUAGUGCAGAGGUAAAGGCCCUUCCCUCGCCCGGUGCAGAAGGAAUGCCUGGAUUUAUUCAGCUGAGUAAAACGAGCUGUGAUUUUCGGAGCAGAUGGCAGAGGUUUUGUGUGUUGGAAAAGCGUUUGCCGGUGCAGUGCUGUUUCCCUGCACCCUGACGGGUGUGCGGGAGGCUCCUGGAAAAGUCCCAUCCUCGGGUCCUGGCAGGGGGAGGGGAAGAGAUGGGGAUCAUGUGCCCCAUUUUGAGUGGCUCAUCUGCUACCACCCAAACUCUGCUGCAGUCCCCCCCCCUCCCUUCAGCAGCUCGGCUGAGCACUGCAGGCGCUGUCAGAUUUCUCUGGCAAAAUUAGUGAUCAAAACACCCCCCCCCCCCCACACACACACGCACACCUUCACUAAGGCUGGUGUUUUUAAGGUUGGGGGGGUGAUGGGGCGCGGGUGGGAGCGCACGGCGAGGGUACGAGGAG
ensembl:lncRNA